rnacentral:lncRNA from 1 species
UAAAGUUUUUGAUUGCCAGACUUGAAGAAGUCCAUGGAUUUCAAUCCAAAAAACUCAGAAUGUGGUUCACCUCUAUAUAUCAAAGUUUUUUCUCAGCAAGAUAUUGUUUGAAGCUAUGAAAUAGAUGAUGAUCAGAUGGUGCAAGGUUGGAAAUAUGCUGGAUGGAAAGUUUUUCCCAUCCAAAUUCCUGCCAAGUUGCAGGAAUUUGGAUGGGAAAAACAGUUUGUAUGGUUUCAUAUUCAGUGGGAAGUAAGAUGGCAUGUGUGGCAUAUAUGUGGCAUUCUUGCUAUGUGUGGUUUCAUAUUGUCCUGUUGAAUAAGUAUACCUUUAUGAUUAAAAGUGCUGGAUGUUUUUCCUGCAAGGCAGUACAUAGACAUCUAGCUGUUGACAAUAGAACCUAUCUUGUAGUGAUUUGGUUCAGUAGCAGAAAUUUGUAAUGGAUUAUUCUUUACAUAUCCCACCAAACAUUUAGCAAAAUCUUAUGAAGAAAUGUUCAGAUUUAGCCACUACUGCAGGCAUAAUCUAUUUAUGAAGCCACUAAUAUUUCCA